rnacentral:lncRNA from 10 species
UAGACUUUCAGCAAAUGCUGGCUGCCUCCCUCCUCCAGUAUCUGCCACCUCUACAGGCUGGCCCCUUUUACAGGUUAGAAUUUUAUUUGUCAAAGCAAAGCACAAGGUUUACUGCCCCAAAGUAUCUUCCCUUAUGAUGCUUCUGAAGGUGUGGUAAGGCUGUUGAAGAGUUGUAAAGAGGGGUUUAUUGUUUUAUAUCCAAAGUGCUUUCUAAUGAAUAUUUUAUGAUUUUUCUCACUGUUUGAUAAUUUUGUAGGAUUCAAACAAGUGAGGAAACUUGAUUUGUUUUGGAGAAAAAAAGAGAGAGAAUCACUAUGACUAAUAACAGAGCCUAUCUGUUCUGGGUACCAGAGAUCCCCGGUUGGUGACCCCAUCCCUGACUGCAGCAUUAAGUCCUGAGUCAUCUAUCCCAAUCAGCUCGUAGCAGUCUUCUUAAUGUCUCCUAUUGUUUAAGCAUGGUCAUUUGCCUAAAUCGAUACAAUAAGACUAAAUUAAAGGAUAUAUACUUCAGUAAUUUACAUGCUUCAGGUAAAGAUUUCUCACCCUUGCUGACAUGAACAUGGAGCACAAAGCUUUUAAGACCACGGAUUUUUUAGCUGCUGUCUUGGCACUAUGAGGGGACCCAGCCUUAGGAUGAAGCCAGGUGCUGAGGACAGCAGAGCACAGGAAUGGAAAGAACUCACGUCUAUGAUAACAUCUUUGAACUGAUAAUUAUACUGCACCUGGAUGCCUCUUACCUCUGGACUUAAUGUUAUGUGAGGCAAUCGAUUUCCUUAUUCUUAUGAAAACCAGUUUCUGUGAAACUGAUCAGUAUCAAGCAUGAAGCAUGCUUCAUGAAGCAGCAUCAGACAGUAGAAAAUACCAGGGCAGCUGCAGGUCACAGCCCUGAAAUCUGGCCAUGGGGUUCAUAUCCUGCUUCCACUUGUGCUAGCUGUGUGGCCUUGGGGAACAUACUCAACCUCUGGCGGCUUCAGUUUCUGCAUCUGAAAAACAAUGAUAAUAAUAGAGUUCCUCACAGGAUAAAUGUGCGUAACACACAUAAUGUAGUGCCUGGCCCAUGGUAAGUCUCAAUAAAAUCUGACUUGUAAUUAUGGUUCCCUCUAGGUGUGAAGAUCAUCUCAGGAUCCACAGAUUGAUUUGAAAGUGGAUUCCCAGUCCUCUUCCUUUCUGUCAUUGACUCUGUGUCUCUUUAUUACUUUGGGUUUUUCUCACUUUUCCUUUCCUGAUCUUCCUCCUCUCAUUCCUUUAACUAGCCAUAAUUGGGAUUGAUUUAUAGCUUUAUUUGUUGUAUUUUAAAAUAUGUAAUUUUACAUUUUCUCUUUUUAAUUUAAGAAGUCAAAGAAU